rnacentral:siRNA from 1 species
AGGAGUGCCGCAAACGGAGAGGCG